UGAAGAAAUUUGCAAGUUGUUAGAGAUCUUCAAUGAUGCUACAGUGGUACUUUUUGGUUCACUAUAUCCUACAAUUAACACCUAUUUCAAUGAGAUUUGGAAGGUUAAAUGGAUGCUGGGAAAGGAAGCUUCAAAUGCAAACUCUACCAUUAGAUCAAUGGUAAAUGCAAUGAAGAAAAAAAUUCAUGAAGUACUGGAGGCUUUCAUACUUGACAAUUUGUAUCCCAGUAAUACUUGAUCCUCGGUGCAAGUACAAAUUUUUGGAGUUCAACUUGAAGGAUGAGUUAGAAAUGGAAGGACCCAAAUGUUUAGCUAACGUGAAGAGGACUUUCAGAGACAUGUUCAAUGCAUAUUCUUCUGCACAUGGUGACUCAAACAUUGGCAAUGAGCAGCAGACACAACCAUCUCCAACAAAUGAUCCAUGGACG
rnacentral:lncRNA from 1 species